GGCUCAGGAUGAACGCUAGCGGCAGGCUUAAUACAUGCAAGUCGAACGGUAACAGGUGUAGCAAUACAUGCUGACGAGUGGCAAACGGGUGAGUAACACGUAUGUAACCUACCCAUAACUGGGAGAUAGCCCGGAGAAAUUCGGAUUAAUACCCCAUAAUAUCCUUGAAAGACAUCUUUUAAUGAUUAAAGUUCCGACGGUUAUGGAUGGACAUGCGCGACAUUAGCUAGUUGGUGAGGUAACGGCUCACCAAGGCGACGAUGUCUAGGGGGUCUGAGAGGAUGAUCCCCCACACUGGUACUGAGACACGGACCAGACUCCUACGGGAGGCAGCAGUAGGGAAUAUUGGUUAAUGGACGCAAGUCUGAACCAGCCAUGCCGCGUGCAGGAUGAAGGCCUUAUGGGUCGUAAACUGCUUUUGUACGGGAAGAAACCUUCGAUCGUGAUCGGAGCUGACGGUACCGUAAGAAUAAGGAUCGGCUAACUCCGUGCCAGCAGCCGCGGUAAUACGGAGGAUCCAAGCGUUAUCCGGAUUUACUGGGUUUAAAGGGUGCGUAGGCGGAUUAAUAAGUCAGUGGUGAAAUCCUACAGCUUAACUGUAGAACUGCCAUUGAUACUGUUAGUCUUGAGUAUUGUUGAGGUGGGCGGAAUUUGUCAUGUAGCGGUGAAAUGCUUAGAUAUGACAAAGAACACCAAUCGCGAAGGCAGUUCACCAAACAAUAACUGACGCUGAGGCACGAAAGCGUGGGGAUCAAACAGGAUUAGAUACCCUGGUAGUCCACGCCGUAAACUAUGAUUACUAGAUGUUGGCGAAUUAUCGUCAGCGUUACAACGAAAGUAUUAAGUAAUCCACCUGGGGAGUACGAUCGCAAGAUUGAAACUCAAAGGAAUUGACGGGGGCCCGCACAAGCAGAGGAGCAUGUGGUUUAAUUCGAUGAUACGCGAGGAACCUUACCUGGGCUUGAACGUAUUUUGACCGGUGCCGAAAGGUACUUUCUCUUCGGAGCAAUUUACGAGGUGCUGCAUGGUUGUCGUCAACUCGUGCCGUGAGGUGUCGGCUUAAGUGCCUUAACGAGCGCAACCCCUAUUCUUAGUUGCCAGCGAGUAAUGUCGGGGACUCUAAGGAAACUGCCUACGCAAGUAGUGAGGAAGGUGGGGAUGACGUCAAAUCAGCACGGCCCUUACGUCCAGGGCUACACACGUGCUACAAUGGCCAUUACAGAGGGUCGCUACCUGGUGACAGGAUGCUAAUCUCAAAAAAUGGUCUCAGUUCGGAUUGAAGUCUGCAACUCGACUUCAUGAAGCUGGAUUUGCUAGUAAUCGCGCAUCAGCAAUGGCGCGGUGAAUACGUUCCCGGGCCUUGUACACACCGCCCGUCAAGCCACGAAAGUUGGGGGUACCUAAAGUCGAUAACCGCAAGGAGUCGCCUAGGGUAAAACCGAUAAUUGGGGCGAAGUC
rnacentral:rRNA from 1 species